rnacentral:misc_RNA from 1 species
UACCGAAGCCUGGUCCCCGCCGCGACUCUAAACAAUGCGCCAACAGUCCACCCGUGGCCUCCACGGGCGGGCGACGUCACCGGCCUGCUGGGACACCGCCGGGUGGAUCAGCAGUCAGCCAUCGGCCCCGGCCGCGGUUGAUGCACAGAUUAGCGAGUGACGGUCAUCCCUGCCCGGGUGAUCAAGAUAUAAUCGGUCCCCACCGUCACGGUGGCGGGGCUACGUUCCGUAGGUGAACCUGCGGAAGGAUCAUUACCGAGUUGGGGUCCUUCGGGGCCCGAUCUCCAACCCUUUGUUUAUUUCACCGCGUCGCUUCGGCGGGCCCGCGCCCGCCGACCGCGACCGCAGUCUUGAAGCAUAACCACACAAAACUUUCAACAACGGAUCUCUUGGCUCUG